GACGAACGCUGGCGGCGUGCUUAACACAUGCAAGUCGAACGGUAAGGCCCUUCGGGGUACACGAGUGGCGAACGGGUGAGUAACACGUGGGUGAUCUGCCCUGCACUUUGGGAUAAGCCUGGGAAACUGGGUCCAAUACCGGAUAGGACCAUGGACUUCACGGUUUGUGGUGGAAAGCUUUUGCGGUGUGGGAUGGGCCCGCGGCCUAUCAGCUUGUUGGUGGGGUAAUGGCCUACCAAGGCGACGACGGGUAGCCGGCCUGAGAGGGUGUCCGGCCACACUGGGAAUGAGAUACGGCCCAGACUCCUACGGGAGGCAGCAGUGGGGAAUAUUGCACAAUGGGCGCAAGCCUGAUGCAGCGACGCCGCGUGGGGGAUGACGGCCUUCGGGUUGUAAACCUCUUUCAGUAGGGACGAAGCGCAAGUGACGGUACCUACAGAAGAAGCACCGGCCAACUACGUGCCAGCAGCCGCCGUAA
rnacentral:rRNA from 1 species